UCUAAACCAUUCAAUCGUCUUCCUCUGCUAUUCUUCCCCAAUUCCCCUGCUUCGAUCUACUCUGAAUCAUGAACCCAUUUUCCCUAUCUGAUGAGUGAUUCCAAGUAGAACCCUGACAUUUGAUAUCAAUAGCCUUUUACCCCUAAUUUUUUUCGUUCCUCACCUAGACCCUCUCACGGAGCUCCAGCCGCCGCUCCGCCGAGUCGUUCCUGACUCCGGCGUCCACGCCCCGCUACUGACUUCCCGGCGGCGGCGGCCAUAGCACAACGUCGGUUAGCCAUUCCGAUGCGCCGCCCACCUUCCUCUCGCACCGCUUAGGAUAGUUGAGGAACGCGAACCCGCCUCUGAAGUUCUCGAUUUCGUGGUGCCUGCGACCUGGCGCCGUGAAAACCGACCAAGUUUGAGGCAACGAUGACAACGACCAUGGAUGACCUCGCCAAGAAGUUCGACAACUUUGAGACCCAGCUGACCCAGGCAUUGGACAAGCUGUUGGGCUUGGAGGCAUAGUGAAUGACCGUAGAUGAGGCCACCGAUAUGCUCCUCUCGCAGUCCGAGCAGCUCGCGUCGUGACUUCAACACCUCGAGGUCGCGCCACCACCGCCGCCACCGUUCCUGCGCCCAUCUACGACACCUCUACCGCCACCUCGGUGGACGGACCCGUUCGACCUCAACCUUUCUCCACCACCGGUGACACGCCCAUCUGCGUCGACCGGGGAGCGUCCCAGCGGGCACCACGAGGAUGACCACCACCAGGACGCUGGCGGGGGGAUUCUUGGCUCCCACCCGCCACGCCCGGUCACGGGUUUUCUCGGUGAUGAGCCCCGGAUUGAAGACACGAUUUGCGGCACUCAACUUCAAGGGAGCAGCGGCAAUCUGUCUGCAGACGCUAGAACGUCGUGGGCGAGUCACAGACUAGGAUGAUUUCUGCAAGGCGGUGUUCGCCGAUUCGACCACGACCAGUAUCAAAUCCAGCUUCGUUAGUUGGAUUCUCUCAGGCAGACUUCCACCAUGGCCAAUUACUUGGAGAGGUUUGAGCGAUUAUCCCAUGGUAUUCUGCUCUACAAUACUCAUUAUGAUGAUACCUAUUUUGUGACUCGGUUCUUGGGAGGACUAACUGAAGAGAUUCAUUCAGUGAUUGCUUUACAUCGCCCUAAGAAUGUUGCAGAGGCAAGUGCUCUUACAUUGAUUCAGGAAGAAGAGUUGGCAAUGAGCAGGAAGCGAUUCUCUCUGAAGGAUUGUUCUAGCAGUAAAAUGACUACUACUUCUGAGCGGUCGAAACUGUUGCCAUUGGAUAAAUCAGGCUCCGAGAAACCCAAGUUGGGCAAGUCUGACAAUUUAGAGAAACUGAAAGAGCUGAUGCAGUUUAGGUGAAAGAAUGGGUUACGCUUUAAAUAUGGAGAGAAAUGAGGCCACAACCACACCUGUCCUGCCCAGGUGCCCUUACAUGUCAUAGAAGAAUUAUGGGAGGCCCUUCAGUCUGAGGAAGAGGAAAUUCUGGACUCUGGGGAGGAUGCAGAAGAGUCUGAUAUAGUCAUGGCAGUGGGAUCACAAGCUCCUAGAGAGCAGGUUAAGAGAAAGACUACGAGGUUACAUGGCACAAAGUCUGAUAUAGUCAUGGCUGUGGGAUCACAAGCUCUUUUCACGUGGUUGUUAACACCAUUAACACUCAAAACUAACAGAAGGCCAUAUUAGAGAGAAAAUGAAGUUAAGAGGUCCUAUAGAAAACUUUUGGGAAAAAAGAGGGCUAAGGAACGAAUAGCUAACUUUAAAAGGGCCAUAUAGGGAAUUUUCCCACCUAGUAAUGGGGCUGUUGAUGAGGAAGCGAGCCGAUGCUGGAAUGGAGAAGGAAACAUAGCGUAUUGGUCCUGUGGGCCAAUAGGGACGUCGUGGUUGAUAAAGCUGAGAAAGGGCUGUUAUUUCAUAGGUUUUGAGUCGUUUGUUUAAGAAGAAGUGUUUUCUUUGUUCGCAAGUCAUGUAAGUCGUAUCGCAAAGGGGUCUAGAUUUAGGCUAUAAAUAGCAGAUUCCCGUUUUUUUUUGUAAAUUUUGAUCAACCACAUUCAAACAAAAAAUCUUUACAUUUAUCACAUCUACUUUUUAUAUCGGUGACUUCGCUAAAAUCCUACUUGUAGUAGUAGCCUUUUUCUCUUUACAAGUUCUUCUCGGCAAGCGAGGCUGCAUCGGCUUCGAUCUCCAUCUUGUUGGUAAGUUCCGAGUUAAGUUGCCUAUAUAGGCUCAUGGUUGAUGCCACAUUGCUUCUUCCUCUUUCUAUAGCGCUCAAGUUAUUGUCGAAUAUGUUAGAUUUUAGGUUUAUGGCGCAUCAUCGCUCUUAUCUUGAUCUUAUUUAUUCACAAGUUAUUGGUAGAAGUUACUACUUUUCUUAGAUUAAUCGGCUUAGUCUAUCUUGUUGUAGUUUUUAUCAUAAGUUAUCAGUAUCUACUUUGAUCUUGCUAGGCUAACGCGUUUAAUCUAGUUCGUUUUAAGUUUUUAUCACAAGUUAUCCAGUUUAGAUCUGCUCACAAUCGGCUCUUUCCGUGAUCUCAUCAUCAUAGCCGAUUGGAUCUAGAUCUAGGUGUUGCUCGUGAGCUACGUUGCUUUAAGCGCAGUAUGCUUCUUUAGAUCGACUGUUUGAUAGCCGAUAUCGGCUGGCUAGCCGAUAGCCACUGGAAUUUAACAUUUAUCCUCCUUGUCAAUUACAGGACAAAUUGAUUGGCACGCCACACACGCCGAUUUGGGUUCGGAACUAUGAACAAAGUAGAUCUCUCCGGCCUUAGCAUACGUGGAGCUUGAGGAUCUGAUCGACGGAUUUUUGCCUUAGAUGGUGUCUCGCUCCGUGUCAUGGAGUGUAACGUAUUAGAGGGUUUAAAAUUUGUACCCAAAUGUAAGGCAUCAUAAGGUCCUUCAAAAAGGCAUGCUGACCUCUUUGGUUUUGGUAUUAAUUUUGUAAAGAAAUCAAUUGCGGUUGGCUUGGCUGAGAGAGUAAAAAGUUAUGCUAA